rnacentral:rRNA from 1 species
UACAGAGGGGGCGAGCGUUGUUCGGAAUUACUGGGCGUAAAGGGCGCGUAGGCGGCCUUCUAAGUCAGACGUGAAAUCCCUCGGCUUAACCGGGGAACUGCGUCUGAUACUGGAUGGCUUGAGUUUGGGAGAGGGAUGCGGAAUUCCAGGUGUAGCGGUGAAAUGCGUAGAUAUCUGGAGGAACACCGGUGGCGAAGGCGGCAUCCUGGACCAACACUGACACUGAGGAGCGAAAGCCAGGGGAGCAAACGGG